rnacentral:lncRNA from 1 species
ACCGAGGUGCCUGCGCGGAGGGCGCGUCCCCAGGAGGGGCCCCGGCACCGGCAGACGCCCCCGCCAGGCCACCAUGGUGACUCCACGACCCCGCGGGCUCCGGGUCGCCCUGUGAACCCCGCGCCCAGGAACCUGUCACCUGCUCCCGCCGCCCCCGCCAUCCCCGCCACCGCAUCCCGCAGAGCAUCCCGCGCCUCCCGGGCCCCCAGGGGACGGCGCGAGGGGACUUGGACGGCGACAGGAUGGCUUGCAGGAGACGCUAUUUGUGAGUACGCGUGACAGGUUGACGCG